GGGGGCGACAGGUUUCGACGGGGAUCAGCGAGGUCCAGGCUGCGUCUCGAGGUUUCUCUCCCCUCGUUAAAUAGAGAGAACGGUAUAGCUGCCAACACACAGCUAGCUCUGGCGGCCUAACAUCCGCCAGCGUCCGCCGCAUCGGGCCACCGGGGUGCGGGAACGGGCGCCAUAUUCCGGGGGCUGGCCCUGAACUUGGCCUCAGGGGAAGGGCGAGAAAAAUGAGGCUGGUCCCGCGGUCCUCCUGCCGGAUGGAGGGCCGAAGGACGAGAGAGACGUAAGAUCAACCGGCUAUCGGCGUAGACGCCUGCGGCUGAGGAUUUCCGGACGUGGGUUCGAUUCCCACCGCCUCCACCA
rnacentral:tmRNA from 1 species